UACGAAGGGGGCUAGCGUUGUUCGGAUUUACUGGGCGUAAAGCGCACGUAGGCGGAUCGUUAAGUCGGGGGUGAAAUCCUGGAGCUCAACUCCAGAACUGCCUUCGAUACUGGCGAUCUAGAGUCCGGAAGAGGUGAGUGGAACUCCUAGUGUAGAGGUGGAAUUCGUAGAUAUUAGGAAGAACACCAGUGGCGAAGGCGGCUCACUGGUCCGGUACUGGCGCUGAGGUGCGAAAGCGUGGGGAUCAAACAGG
rnacentral:rRNA from 1 species